rnacentral:lncRNA from 1 species
UGAACUGUAGGUGUAGCCUAAUUUGAAUGUGUCCAUCAAAAAGAGGGUGGGCCUAACUGGCUGGUUUCAGCUGCUGUAGGGGCUCGAGUAGCAGUUUCUUCUUGCUCUUACUUGAAACCCGUGGGAUAGGAGGUACCAGAGUACAUCUUGGUAGCACAGACAAAUGUACUAAGUCCUGUGACUUGUGAAUAAAACAGAAGAGAACCUUG